UGGAGUGACACAGUAGGAUAAGCUAACCGUACUGUUGGUUAUGUACGGCUAAGCAUUGAGGCAGUCUAAAUAGGCAAAUCCGUUUAGACAAUGCUAGGAUGUGAUGGGGAAGCCCUUCGGGGCGAAGUAGCUGAUUUCACACUGUCAAGAAAAGCUUCUAUCGAGUUUAAAGGCGCCCGUACCGUAAACCGACACAGGUGGGUGAGGAGAGUAUCCUAAGGCCAGCGAGAGAACUAUUGUUAAGGAACUCGGCAAAAUGACCCCGUAACUUAGGGAGAAGGGGUGCCUGUCUAUGACAGGCCGCAGAGAAUAGGCCCAAGCGACUGUUUACCAAAAACACAGGUCUCUGCUAAGUCGCAAGACGAUGUAUAGGAGCUGACGCCUGCCCGGUGCUGGAAGGUUAAGGGGAUCUGUUAGAGCAAUCGAAGCAGUGAACUUAAGCCCCAGUAAACGGCGGCCGUAACGAUAACGGUCCUAAGGUAGCGAAAUUCCUUGUCGGGUAAGUUCCGACCCGCACGAAAGGCGUAACGAUUUGGGCACUGUCUCAACAAUAGACUCGGUGAAAUUGUAAUCCCGGUGAAGAUGCCGGGUACCUGCGACAGGACGGAAAGACCCCAUGGAGCUUUACUGUAGCUUGACGUUGGGUCUUGGUACUACAUGUACAGGAUAGGUGGGAGACUAUGAAGCAUGGACGCCAGUCUGUGUGGAGUCAUCCUUGGGAUACCACCCUUGUAGUACUGGGAUCCUAACCAUAGGCCUUGAAUCAGGUCUUGGAACACCGUCAGGUGGGCAGUUUGACUGGGGCGGUCGCCUCCUAAAAAGUAACGGAGGCGCUCAAAGGUUUCCUCAGCACGGUCGGAAAUCGUGCGAAGAGUGUAAAGGUAAAAGGAAGCUUGAUUGCAAGACAUACAGGUCGAGCAAGGACGAAAGUCGGACUUAGUGAUCCGGUGGUACCGCAUGGAAGGGCCAUCGCUCAACGGAUAAAAGCUACCCUGGGGAUAACAGGCUUAUCUCCCCCAAGAGUCCACAUCGACGGGGAGGUUUGGCACCUCGAUGUCGGCUCAUCACAUCCUGGGGCUGUAGUAGGUCCCAAGGGUUGGGCUGUUCGCCCAUUAAAGUGGUACGCGAGCUGGGUUCAGAACGUCGUGAGACAGUUCGGUCCCUAUCCGUCGCAGGCGUAGGAAAUUUGAGAAGACCUGUCCUUAGUACGAGAGGACCGGGAUGGACGUACCUCUGGUGUACCAGUUGUUCUGCCAAGGGCAUGGCUGGGUAGCUAUGUACGGAAUGGAUAAGCGCUGAAAGCAUCUAAGCGCGAAGCCAACUUCAAGAUAAGAUUUCCCACCGUAAGGGUAAGACCCCAGGAAGACUACCUGGUUGAUAGGUCGAAGGUGUAAGUGCAGUAAUGUAUUUAGCUUAUCGAUACUAAUAGGUCGAGGACUUGACC
rnacentral:rRNA from 1 species